AAUAGAUACCCGGGUAGUCCACGCCGUAAACGAUGAGUGCUAGGUGUUGGGGGCUUUGAGCCCUCAGUGCCGAAGGAAACCCAUUAAGCACUCCGCCUGGGGAGUACGGCCGCAAGGCUGAAACUCAAAGGAAUUGACGGGGGCCCGCACAAGCGGUGGAGCAUGUGGUUUAAUUCGAAGCAACGCGAAGAACCUUACCAGGGCUUGACAUCCCGCUGACCGCUCUAGAGAUAGAGCUUCCCUUCGGGGCAGCGGUGACAGGUGGUGCAUGGUUGCCGUCAGCUCGUGUCGUGAGAUGUUGGGUUCAGUCCCGCAACGAGCGCAACCCUUAUCGUUAGUUGCCAGCACUUCGGGUGGGCACUCUAACGAGACAGCCGGUGAAAGCCGGAGGAAGGUGGGGAUGACGUCAAAUCAUCAUGCCCCUUAUGUCCUGGGCUACACACGUGCUACAAUGGUCGGUACAAAGGGCAGCAAACCCGCGAGGGGGAGCCAAUCCCAUAAAGCCGAUCUCAGUUCGGAUCGCAGGCUGCAACCG
rnacentral:rRNA from 1 species